rnacentral:ncRNA from 2 species
ACUCUAAUUUGACAUUGUGAAGCGACACGGAACGUAUACAAUCAGUGGAAGCUUCGGCGCCAGUAAAAUAUCACUACCGCCAUCCUCUCUUUACCUUUCCACUGAACCGGAGCUGGGUUUGACGGACCACCUUUUGCAAGCAGUUAUGCUUUAUGAAAGAGUUUGUCAGGUGCAGAGU